CUCAAGCAUGACUCUGCUGGGGGGUCCGGGCUGAGGGAGGGGCCCCGCUCGGCUGUCUGCUCUCCUGCCCUCCUUGGUUUAGUCAUUUAUCUCGGUGGUCUGCAGGUUUCUGUUACCAGCAAACGCUUCAUGCAGCACAGCGAAGCCCCCUGGGAGUCAAAACACGACGUGAUGUUGGUCUGCGGCUUCAGCAGCGUCACGAACAAUGUCAAUGCUUUUUUUCUGAGGUAAACCGUAUGACGGAGUUUCAGCUCUACUGGAGGAUUUCUGGGGAUUGGAUCCUGACCGACUGUUAAAUCCGGGUCACCUGGUAAUAAGUGAACCUGGGCUGGUUCUUAUAUUACUCUGUGACCUUCUGGCCUCUGAACAUGUAGGCAAAAGUUUGAGUCCCGCUUUGUGUGGCUGUGAAGAUUCAGAAACGCUGAAUACUGGGAAUCAUUUGGCAAGAAAAUCAAACAGGAAGCUGCGUUUGUCUGCAGGGUGAGAAUAUCGUUUACUUCAUUUCUAAUAAGGAAAUAUGUCAGAAAAUACCUGGAAGGAUCACAGUGAGGAUGGAUUCAGCACAGAUUCGCUCCAAACAUGUAAAUGUUUAAACAUCUUCCAGUUUGAUUUGUUUUUAUGAAGUUAAACGCAGCCAGCAGUCUUCUUCCUCUUCCUCUUCCUCGUUUAGGAUCAUUUAAAUCAGGAAUGAAUGGAUAAAAUGGAGUCUGCAGCAGGUAAAAUAGUGACCACUCAUAGCUACUCCACAGAACCCCAGUCUAGAAAAAGCACAAAGUGUUUUUCAUUUUAACUCAGAGGAAAAUCCCCACAGGUUGAAACAUCCUGGUCAGAUUUGUAUAUUUUCAGGCCUGCAGCCAAACUGCUUCAUCAGCGAUUAAAGGUCAGAACUCACAUUAUUUAUUAGCAAAAAAGAACAAAGUCGUAUAAAGUAUUAAAUUAGCAUCCAUGAUCCAACCAGUAGGUUGAAACCAGUUUGGUGUUUUUAGCAGCCAGUCUGCAGAAAAACAAAACCGUUAAUCCUCUUUUCAUCACUUCUUUUAAAGGUUGAAUACGACCCAGAUGAAUUUACUGAAACAUCUUCCAGGAAGAAGCACAUUUCCAGGUGAACGUCCUUCACAGUCCAGCGGCAGUAAAUACAGUGCAAAGGGAGGAGAAGGUGGGUUGGAUUUAUUCACCUGGAGGAGUUUAAACCACAACAAGCACCUCCGCUUCAAGUUACUGCUGGAAAAACUGAACCAAAAGAGAAAAACCUCCAAUAACUUAAGAGGAUCCGGGCGGGCGGACUCCGGCUCCUGGCUCUGCUCUCCGUGGGACGUGGCCACCGCCUCGUACUCGGCCGCCACCGGGCCGCUAGGAGCCUGGCAACGAGAGGAAAACAGGAUGACGGCGGCUGGAAGGUGGGCGCUUCCUGCAGGGGGCGCCAGAGCAAAACAACAAACACAAACCAGCAGCUACUAGAACCCGUCUACCUGGAAGAACACGGCACAAUCCAACUCAGACCGGGUAAAUAAUCCAGCACCAAACCGUCACUCAGUCUGCCCCAACGGGCCUUCAUCACAUGAUGAUGAGGAGGAUCUGAGGGGCGUUUCUGCUCCAGCUUCAUCACAUGAUGAUGAGGAGGAUCUGAGGGGCGUUUCUGCUCCAGCUUCAUCACAUGAUGAUGAUGAGGAGGAUCUGAGGGGCGUUUCUGCUCCAGCUUCAUCACAUGAUGAUGAGGAGGAUAUGAGGGGCGUUUCUGCUCCAGCUUCAUCACAUGAUGAUGAUGAGGAGGAUCUGAGGGGCGUUUCUGCACCAGCUUCAUCACAUGAUGAUGAUGAGGAGGAUCUGAGGGGCGUUUCUGCACCAGCUUCAUCACAUGAUGAUGAUGAGGAGGAUCUGAGGGGCGUUUCUGCUCCAGCUUCAUCACAUGAUGAUGAGGAGGAUCUGAGGGGCGUUUCUGCUCCAGCUUCAUCACAUGAUGAUGAGGAGGAUCUGAGGGGCGUUUCUGCUCCAGCUUCAUCACGUGAUGAUGAGGAGGAUCUGAGGGGCGUUUCUGCUCCAGCUUCAUCACAUGAUGAUGAGGAGGAUCUGAGGGGCGUUUCUGCUCCAGCUUCAUCACAUGAUGAUGAGGAGGAUCUGAGGGGCGUUUCUGCUCCAGCUUCAUCACAUGAUGAUGAGGAGGAUCUGAGGGGCGUUUCUGCUCCAGCUUCAUCACAAUCAACCAACCUGAUUCAUUCCAGCCGUUCAAACCCAAACAUGAUGCAGAAUUAUUGGAUUAUUAUUAACUAUCAAUAAGUGAUGAGACAUGAUCCCGGAAAAUGUAAUAUAUUGAUAAUAAUACAAGUUUGUCAGAAACCAAUAAACCACUAUUAUGUCACAGUCCAUCUUAUUUUCAAUCUUGUAAUUGUUAAUGUUAUUUAUUUUUCCAAGAGUUUAGAUUUUUUUAUUUUCCAUCACUUUUUUCAUUUUGUUUUUGUCUCUUUUUUUCUUAUUCUGUAUUAAUUUAGUAACUUUACAGAACAUUUUAAUACCCAAAAAGCUUUUAUUUUGUUUUUGUUGUGUACUUAGUUAUUUUAACCUUUUUGUUUCCUCUUUAACUAAAUCAGAGUCUUCUUCAGUUUGGGACAAACUUUUUAUUUCUUCCCUUUUUUAACCGUUGUUUCUAAUUUCCUCUGUUCAGUAAAAAAACUGACGUCUCCCAGAAAGAGUCCUGAUGUAAGAAACCAGUUCAACUUUACUGUUAUGACUUCAAUAAGUCUGAUUGGAACAAACCACUAGAGGGGGUGAAACCACAGAGAAGCACGGUGGUGGCAGCAUCAUGCAACUGGAAGUUCUGCCUUGCAGGAGGACGAGUCUUUAAGCUUCUGUUCAAAAUGAGAAAUCUGACUUUGGAGCAUCUUUGUUCUCAAUAAAUUUAGAAAAUAAAUAUUAAGGUUGCAUCAAC